CCUGAACCCCAUCUCACUCCUCCCGUAACUCCCUCCCUCUCCUUCACUUCUACUUUGUUCCUUCUCCCCUCCUUGCGCCGCCCCACCGUCGCUGCUCCACCUCAGCUCACCGCCGCCAUCGCCGCUAUCACACCGUUGCAGAAGAACGAGUUGGGGAAUAGAACAUCCAAAAUUGCGCUAAGAGCUUGCUCAAGGAGAUGCAGGUAUUGGCGUUGAAUUUUAGGUACACUUGAAGUAAAGUUGAGAGCUUAGUUGAAGUGUACUUCUAUGGAAGACUUUAAUAAGUGUAUAUAAGUUAAUUGAAUUCUUUUAGUUAUGUAAUAUUAUUAGUACUUAGCUUUGCAUCCGCUUUAUAAGUAGGUGUAGCAGUAACACCCUGAUGGUGUAUUGGGAAAGUUUUAUAUGUUGGAAUGAUGUAGUUGAUGCAGGUUAAAGGAAAUAUGACGUAAUACCCUAAAUAAUAUUUUAGGUUGUCCAUAUUUAGGGAAA